rnacentral:rRNA from 1 species
UACGAAGGGGGCUAGCGUUGCUCGGAAUCACUGGGCGUAAAGCGCACGUAGGCGGAUCUUUAAGUCAGGGGUGAAAUCCCGGAGCUCAACUCCGGAACUGCCUUUGAUACUGGGGAUCUUGGAGUCCGGGAGAGGUGAGUGGAACUCCUAGUGUAGGGUGGUGAAUUCGUAGAUAUUAGGAAGAACACCAGUGGCGAAGGCGGCUCACUGGUCCGGUACUGACGCUGAGGUGCGAAAGCGU